UACAAUUGUCAUGUCCACAAUCUAACUAUUACAUAACAUCACUUCAUACUCUGGCUAACCUCCUGGUCUACCCUGUACCUGCACAUCUGGGGUUAGGGGAGAGGGGUGAGCUAUAAAGCCCAGUGAGCAGAAUAGAGAAAACAUAUAUUAAAUAUUUCAUGCUUCCAUGAAAUGCAACACAUCACAAACAUAUCACAUAAGGAUGGUACUGUCACCUAUAGUCCUCAUCAUAGUCCAAUCGUGCCAGGGGCGUAGAAUGGGCCUCACUGGUCUUUCUCUUACAUACAUAACAUAACAUAACAUUCCAAUAUGCCAGGGGCGUAGAAUGGGCCUCACUGGUCUUUCUCUUAACAUAGUCCAGGGGCGUAGAAUGGGCCUCACUGGUAAUCCAUACCGUAUCAUCAUCAUCAUCAUAUCAUACCAUAGGAGGACUAGAGGAUCAUUCAAUAACCAAUCCACAUCCACAUCAAAUUAUGCAAUGCAACAUCUUCGUGAUUACUAAUGCAAACACCCUAUAAUAUCACAUGGCAUAUAUGAUGCGUGAACAUGUUCAAAAAGUUAUAUUUCAUUUAUUUAAAACUUAAGGUUUAUUCCACUCACCUCUUAGCUGAAGCUCAACAGACUCUGAAGCAGCUAUCUCACUGCUGGGGUCCCUGAUUUCUCGGGUCCGAACCUACACAGGUGGACUCAAAUGAGGGACCGAACAUACAUAAACAUGACUCUAAAAUACUCCCCAAAAACCCCCUAGAACAUCAUGAAAA
rnacentral:lncRNA from 1 species